rnacentral:tRNA from 1 species
UUAGAGUAUAGCGUAACUGGUAACGUAUUUGCCUUGGGCGCAAAAGAUUGUAGGUUCAAAUCCUGCUACUCUAAUC